rnacentral:misc_RNA from 1 species
GUUAAGUUUUCUAGAUAUAUAGUUAAUACUUCCAAAUAUUUAUUUCAUGAUUUACGAAAUACUGCGAAUUUAAUACAAAAAGAUGAACUUUUCAUUAUGCCCAAACCAAUAAUUUUUUAUUUUUUUAAAAAAACAAGAAUAAUAAACCCUGCUAUUGAGGAAGAAAAAGAAAAAAAAAGAAAUUUCUCACUCGAGCAUUAAAAUUCAAAAUACAACUGCAUUUAUCUACAUAAAAUACCGGCGGUAACGCAGAUAAUUAAAUAGUCAUCAAAUCAAUGGCCGGAGCGAUCUAUCUAGUUCCUGAGAAGCGCAGCAACAGAGAAGAUCAGCGAGGAGCAGAUAAUCGCACUGGAAAUCGGUAGUGAAAACGCGGCGCCUUGGUCCGGCGACGGUGCCGGAGCCAAUGUCGGUUCCUGAGCGGAAGCAACCGCCGACAAAAUCGCAACAAUUGCAAAAAACACGGCCAUAGCUUUCACUUCCAUAUCGAGGAGAACCGGAAAAUUCAGUGAAUCGGAGAGAAAAUUGAAGUUAUAGAUAGAUCGGAAUUGGAAUUGAGAUUGGGAUGUUCUCCAGCACAGGUGACUUGAAUUCGCUUCUACCAUGUAAUGUUUUGGGAAGCUCUGCCCUUCUUCAAGACAAUCGGGGCAAAAUGC